ACGGUACCGUAAGAAUAAGCACCGGCUAACUACGUGCCAGCAGCCGCGGUAAUACGUAGGGUGCAAGCGUUAAUCGGAAUUACUGGGCGUAAAGCGUGCGCAGGCGGUUAUAUAAGACAGAUGUGAAAUCCCCGGGCUCAACCUGGGAACUGCAUUUGUGACUGUAUGGCUAGAGUACGGCAGAGGGGGAUGGAAUUCCGCGUGUAGCAGUGAAAUGCGUAGAUAUGCGGAGGAACACCGAUGGCGAAGGCAAUCCCCUGGGCCUGUACUGACGCUCAUGCACGAAAGCGUGGGGAGCAAACAGGAUUAGAUACCCUGGUAGUCCACGCCCUAAACGAUGUCAACUGGUUGUUGGGUCUUCACUGACUCAGUAACGAAGCUAACGCGUGAAGUUGACCGCCUGGGGAGUACGGCCGCAAGGUUGAAACUCAAGGGAAUUGACGGGGACCCGCACAAGCGGUGGAUGAUGUGGUUUAAUUCGAUGCAACGCGAAAAACCUUACCCACCUUUGACAUGUACGGAAUUUGCCAGAGAUGGCUUAGUGCUCGAAAG
rnacentral:rRNA from 1 species